AUGGACAAAGCUUCUGUUCCCGAUGAUCCACCAGAUUGGAGCACCGAUUGUGAUUGGUCCCAGCUUCAGGCCGACAUGCUCCUCCGGAUCGUUGGCACUCUUGAGAUCCCAGAUCUCUUCAGCUCAGGUGCGGUCUGUCGAUCCUGGCACCUCAUUUAUCUAGAGGCCCGUCGUUUCCGCCUGUGCUCGCCGAAACAGAGCCCCUGCCUUGUUUACUCAUCUGGCGACCGUGAUGCUGACACGGUCACUCUGCAUAACAUGUCCACCAACAAGCUUUACCACGUCACUCUAUCGGAGCCUGCCUUCCGCACACGCCAUGUCAUGGGCUCCUCCCACGGUUGGCUCAUCACCGCGGAUGAGCGGUCAAAUCUCAUACUAGUGAACCCUGCAACCGGAGCUCAGAUAGCUAUGCCUCCACCUGAAACCAUGAACAAUGUUAGACUGCGCUACACUGAAGAGGGUGUGCUAGAUGGAUAUGAUGUUCUUUACAUGGAUAUCUUAUCUUCGGAUUUUGACACAGAAACGGAGCCAUACCAUCUUACACUUGAAGAAGCCCGCUUCUUCUUUUAUGAGAGGGUUGUUCUUUCUUGCGACCCCUCCCAAGGAAACUGCAUGGUGCUCUGA
rnacentral:rRNA from 1 species